UGCAAGUCGAACGGCAGCGCGGGGCAACCUGGCGGCGAGUGGCGAACGGGUGAGUAAUAUAUCGGAACGUACCCAAGAGUGGGGGAUAACGUAGCGAAAGUUACGCUAAUACCGCAUACGAUCUAAGGAUGAAAGCAGGGGACCGCAAGGCCUUGUGCUCCUGGAGCGGCCGAUAUCUGAUUAGCUAGUUGGUAGGGUAAAGGCCUACCAAGGCUACGAUCAGUAGCUGGUCUGAGAGGACGACCAGCCACACUGGAACUGAGACACGGUCCAGACUCCUACGGGAGGCAGCAGUGGGGAAUUUUGGACAAUGGGCGCAAGCCUGAUCCAGCAAUGCCGCGUGAGUGAAGAAGGCCUUCGGGUUGUAAAGCUCUUUUGUCAGGGAAGAAACGGUGGGGGCUAAUAUCCUCCACUAAUGACGGUACCUGAAGAAUAAGCACCGGCUAACUACGUGCCAGCAGCCGCGGUAAUACGUAGGGUGCAAGCGUUAAUCGGAAUUACUGGGCGUAAAGCGUGCGCAGGCGGUUUUGUAAGUCUGAUGUGAAAUCCCCGGGCUCAACCUGGGAAUUGCAUUGGAGACUGCAAGGCUAGAAUCUGGCAGAGGGGGGUAGAAUUCCACGUGUAGCAGUGAAAUGCGUAGAGAUGUGGAGGAACACCGAUGGCGAAGGCAGCCCCCUGGGUCAAGAUUGACGCUCAUGCACGAAAGCGUGGGGAGCAAACAGGAUUAGAUACCCUGGUAGUCCACGCCCUAAACGAUGUCUACUAGUUGUCGGGUUUUAAUUAACUUGGUAACGCAGCUAACGCGUGAAGUAGACCGCCUGGGGAGUACGGUCGCAAGAUUAAAACUCAAAGGAAUUGACGGGGACCCGCACAAGCGGUGGAUGAUGUGGAUUAAUUCGAUGCAACGCGAAAAACCUUACCUACCCUUGACAUGGAUGGAAUCCCGGAGAGAUCUGGGAGUGCCCGAAAGGGAACCAUUACACAGGUGCUGCAUGGCUGUCGUCAGCUCGUGUCGUG
rnacentral:rRNA from 1 species